rnacentral:misc_RNA from 1 species
UUUAUGAUUUAUUUGUUUGAUUUAAUGUUGACUUUUUCCUAUAUGAUUUUCUUUUUCCUUCUUCCGUCCAGAAAUUGAGAUUUUGAAUUCAGUACUCAGCUUUUCACAAUUUGCAUAAUUUUAAUGUAAAUGUUUGCAUUUCUUGUUAACUUUUAUGCGGAUUUGGUUUCUGAUCCGAAUUAGUUUGAUAUUAAGGCCUAGUUG